rnacentral:lncRNA from 1 species
UAUUUCUGUGUUUUUUCAAACACGGUUCGAGGACUGAUGCUGAGCGUGACGACGAGGAGAUGGAGGACUGGCUGCAGGCUACAGGGGGGCCGAAGAAGGGUAGAAUUGUGGCCAUUCCCCGUGUCCGGCUGUGAGAUCUCGACGUCGCCUACGUGGCACACAUGGCAUAUCUGACGUGGAACCCAAAAAAUUUGUUGCUGCUCAGAUUCGAUCUCCAGACCUCCAACUCAAAAUUUCGACCCAAUGACCACCUAAGCACCACGGGAUAGCUGUUUUAUUUUCGCAAGGAUUAUAAUUUAUAACUGAAAAAAGAAUUUCUCCCAAAUUAAAACAAAACCCCUUUUCUUAGAUCUGCUAAGUCUCGGUCUAUAUCUCAUUUCGUUCUUUCGAUCUUCAUCUUCUAUGUUCACCGCCAUUCUCUUUUUUCCACAAAAUCAUUGCCUUAAACCAAUGUCACAACACAACGAUCUGUCCCCAAAAUCUAUCAUCUCACAUUGAUGUCGCACCACAAGGUCUACUACUAGAUAGAGGAAAAUUACCACCGAAAACGGAGGAAGAAGAGACGAGAGGAUGGAAAGUGGACGGUGGCGUUGGUGUUUGACAACCGCAAUGCCGAGAAUGGCGGUGGGAGAAGGGAGG